UGUUGUAAUCAAAAUAAUCCU
rnacentral:piRNA from 1 species